GGUUGCAACAAGCCGGCCGGCCAAAGAGAAUCAACUAGUUUAGUUCUGAUCUGAGUAGGCUCAUAAUUAGGGAAUACCCUAACCCUGGGAACCGGGGCCUGGCCAUCCUUCGUUUGCGGUCGACGUUCCGGCUUUGUCCGUCGACAGCUGAAUGUUUCGAUCUGGUUCGAUUCAUGAUCGCAUCUGCAAACCUUAUCCCGUGGGCUUUAGCGGACGUUUUUCAUUCUUCACCCGGUCCUUAGUAGCCUUUCCAAAGUCAACCUAACCGCUUACCUUUGGAAAGGCGCUAAAUAGGCCUUCGCCCUUACGCCUUUAUAUAUAAUAGAAGAAAAUUAGAUAGUUGUAUAUAGAAUUAGCCAGAUCGUCUGAAGCAUGAACAGAAUCGCCUUUGUUCUGAAGGCCUAGCGAGUUCCUUUUUUUUUUUUUUUCAAAGGCGGCCCCUUUCUUUCCUCGGACCGAUGACUCGCUUGUUCAGUACUGCUAACUAUUAUAGGAGGAUGCCGCCCCCUCGGGACUACCAGUAGCUUCGGUUGUUGAAUCUCGUGCAAGUUAGGUUGUGGUUGUAUUGGCUGCAAGCGGAACGUAGGCGCUUUAGGUGUGUGUUGACCAUGCACUCUCGCUUCGUGUAAUGUCGUAUGUAUGAUAGAGGUAGUGUGGUGAUUGACCUCAAUGCUAAUGGUGAUCCCCAAGGUUCAACGAAUGAAUGAAGCUAUGAUCCGGAUAGAGAUGGUGGUCUUCCUCUGAUGUCUCCAAGCCGGCCAUAAUAGAAUAGAUAGGCGAAGCAGUCAAUAGCAGUCUGUUCUCGCCUAUCGAUAGAUAGCAGGUUGCUUCCAAGCUCAAACCAUUUGAAACGGAAUUGCUACUUUUUUCUUGUUAUUGAUAGAGUGGUAUUCUCCGCCCCUGUCAAAUAAAGUAGAGGGGGAGAACUGGAAGAGAGAAGGAAAAAGAGCAAAGGAUUGACAAGUCUAAUGGGGGAAGAAUGGCUGACACGUUGACUGCCUUCGAUAGACGAAAAAAAACCCAAGCGGUCUAACCUAACCCCCAGGGCGGACCCCAACCGAAAGGCGCUAGACGGACUAAGGGCAAGCGAGAUAAAGAAAGCAGCUGGCCCUAUGUGUAAAACCUUGCCGCGGGAGAGUCUUUCUCCAAUGAGAAUAAAGAAAGUUUUUGGGCAAGACAAGAAAGGAACUCGCCCUUUGACACCAAGGGAUAAGAGCUGAUUGCUGGCGAUGACUUGGUGAAGGGAAUCUAUGAGAGAAGGUUCUCGAACCGGGUUACGACCAACGCGGAACCAACGAGUUCAGUCGAACAAGGUAACGAGUCUAAGGGAAGGAUCAAGCUUGAAAGGAAUGGACGGGCGUAGGCUUAAUAGUGAACGCAGACCCCCCUGCUUAUAGAUAUGAGAUCAAUGACUUAAAUAAAAGAAAGAUGUCGAGAGAAAGUCUUAGCCCUUAAAAUGCGUUGCGAAGAGAGAUCGAAGACGAAGAUUUUCUGACGCAGUGCGGGCACUGGAUGGAAAAGACAGAUAAAGGAACAACCCACCGGAAGGGCAUACCUCAAGGGGCACCAAUCUCCCCCGGCAAAGAUCUAUCUGCGCGAAGCCGACCUAUGGAUAGAAAGAAAGAUGCAGGAAAGGAAAAUGAAAGAAGAAAUCCAAAUUUGCUUUGGGAGUGUGAGAUAGGCAGACGGGGAGUACGCAGCCGAACAACCGCUGGGGUUUCCAGCAGUGAUAGCUGAACUAAUCAGAUGGGCCGCCCCAAACCUGGAGCUGACAUUUAAAUCGGGAAUCAACAUCGGGUCCCGGCUAUCCGAAAAACGCAGACUGAAGCGGAAGAUCACAAAAUGCAACACAACAAGGGGGUCGUUAGACCGUAGCUUGCGCGAAGGAAGAAGCUAAUCAAUCAGAAUUGAGACAGGGAGGAGAGGCGAAAGAGAGAUUUUCGAGCCUGCAAGCAGCAAGCAACAACGGCUUUUCCGCCGUUGCGCGCUAGCUUGUAGUUUAGGGGUAUAGUAGGGGUGCCCCUUUCUCAAACUUUUCUAUAAUAUAAGGUAAGCUUUUUGGAACCCUAGUUUUGGAGUUUUCCCCAACCAACCUAUACCUUACUAAUAAAAAGGGGCUUCCCUUUUUCAGCUGCAUUGCACUGCCGCAUAAACAAUGGAUCCGCUGGGCUGGAUGAGCAACCUUCUAUCUGGCCUCUGUACCAAUAGUAGAGUGGCUUGCUACUUUCAAUCAGAAAAGGAAGAUUGAGCAAGGCAAAGGAGAAAGGAGUUGUCCCCCCUUCUCUGGUAACCCGCCGCCGCAUAUGUAGAAAAAGAAGGAGCGGAGAAGGAAGAACAACCGUUUUACUUUGGCACAUGAGGUGGCGGGUUUGGCUAGGUAACAUAAUGGAAAUGUAUCGGACUGCAAAUCCUGGAAUGACGGUUCGACCCCGUCCUUGGCCUCGAGGAGUGGUGAGCAGCACGGAACUUGUUUCAAUCAAAUGGCAUAGUAUUAGGGUAGGAGGCUUUCCUUUGUUAUAGAAAUCCACAGACAAGAUUCUGGAACUUCCAAACCAAAGAAAUGCAAGAUGAGAAGGAGCUUUUUACGUUACGCUUCAAUAGAAUGAAUUCGGUAAGGGUAGAAUAGGCCCUAUGGUCGAUCGAAGGUGCUGUGCCACUUGAACUCAAAUCUAUCUGACCUUCAAUCCAUCUUUGUCCAGCCAGCUCAUAACAAAAUGUUAGACCAAGGCUGACACAACCGAAUUGGUUGAGGAAAAGGAACCCCCAGCGACCAAGCACUCCCGCCCCCAAAAGCGGAGACCGAAGAACCGCCAGGUUGUCGAGGACACGUCUGAAGAGGAGGCGGGCGCCCUCUAAGUUGACCACCCUACCCACUAAUGGACUAUGAGGGGGGGGAAGGCGAACGGGAACCGACCGAAAACCCGAACCGCUUGACUGACCCCUUCAUAGUCCAUUCAUUAAGGUUGGGGAUGGCUGGAACCAAUCAGAAGUGCAAAUCGCGCAAGCGAAGCCGGGAAACGGACCGCAGCGCAACGACUAGGACUCGUGUCGGAGGAGUUUUGAGCGUGAGCUAACACUCAUGCAGCGGCAAGGACCCGCAACUCUCGAAGGGGCCACCAACCGCCCGAAUCACUGUAGCAAACCCUCUCUUUACUCAAUGGAUAGCGCUUAUUCUCUUUCAAUCAACAAAAUGAGAAAUGGGGGAGAAAUCAAAAAAAGAGGUCUUUAUUGAAGAGGCUUUGCACCUGAAAUAGGACUAAUGCAGAUCCAGAAGAAUGGUCUGGGCUUUCGAAAAGAUGAAGAUGCAAGGGGUAAAGAGACAGUCUUUUGAACAACCAAGCUGACAUAAGGAUUCUAGCUCGCGCCCACUUAGAGCAGAUGGAGAUUCUCGGACGGGGAAAAGCGGCACUCGACAUCUAUUAAACAAGACCAAGAACAAAGCCAUACCAUGCCCUCGGGAGAAAGUAGUGAUGAUUGCCAUGAAUGCUGCCCUCGAGGACGUGUACAAGAAGGUCUUUGCCGAUUCCUAUCAACAUGGUGCAUCUCUUAGUAGAGGGGCGUGAAAAGUGGAGACUUUGACCGUAGGGAUCAAUUGAUAGACAUUUUUCUUGAGGAAGAGAAUCCAGGAUGAACGCUUUUUUCAUUCGCUAUGCGCUGACUGGAUGCGUACUCGCGUGAUCAAUCGAUGGACGGGGGAAUUGCGUGAAUGAUGAGACCGGCCUAACCUAAAGUCAAGGCUCUUCCCUCUCUUGAUGGCGAAUCUUGAUUGACUGACACUAGGAACCGAUUCGGAGAAAGAAGAAGCAUGGCAUGAGAUAGGCGGCGGAGAAAUUUCCGAUAGCGAAUUACUUGACUCGAUGGAUGGAGGGAGAGCCCUCCAACUCAAGCACGAAAUCAAUGUUGAGUCAACAAUCAUCGAGAGGGGUACCACCAAGCGAGAUCGAGACCAGCCCCUUGUAUAGGUAUAGGGUUCCAAACCUGCGCUUCUUCAAAUAUCCCAUAAAUCUAAAUAAAGUAGGGACUUCAAAGCUUGACUAAGAAGGGAGAAAGUUGACUUUGAGAAAGAAAAGGGGCGCCCUAGCUGCAAUCAAAAAACAGCGCUAACGAGCAAGAAAGGGCCCCUUACUAUAGAUAGGGCCUUAGCGCUUUACUAAUAACAAACAUAUAUAGGGCUUACUUUUUUCAGCUUGAUCGGAAUCGAUUCUAUGAUUGAAUAGCAGAAGUGCUACUUAGUAGUAGAAACUCGGAGAGACAGACAGAGAGGGGACUCUUUCAUACCUGCUAACUCCUAGGAUGAGAAGUAGGUCCCUUGUUUUUGGCAGGAAGAGUUCCAGCCUUUGUUGCCCCUCGGUAGAGUGAGUCUACUUAGCGAACUGGCAGGACGCGGAGAUCUAUUGAUCAAUAUGAAUCUCGAGAGUGGAUGGUUGAUCGCCGCCUCCUUGUCCUGGGGGCUCUCCGGCCAGGGAGGGGCUUGCUAGCGUAACCCUUUCUCCCGGUGUAUGUGAAAAAGAGUGACGAACUCAUUUUUCUUCGGUCAUAGGUUGGUCCAAAGAACGAGAGUCGGCUUCCAACAUUAAGUCCGUUGUUCCUCAGUAGCUCAGUGGUAGAGCGGUCGGCUGUUAACCGAUUGGUCGUAGGUUCGAAUCCUACUUGGGGAGAUUUUUUAGUUAUCGCCUUUCUGACCUAGCGCUUGCCUCCGGUGGUGUCCUUCUCCUUUCUUUCUAAACUAGCAGAAUCGUGGGACAUCAAAAGCGGUAAGUUGAUUGUUGGUUUUUAUUCCUCACUCUCGUAUAGGUUAACUUGGUUCGUUCCAUUCUUAGGGAAGGAUCCACUGGAAAGACUGGAGUAGUAUCUUCAUUAGCCGGAAGGAAUUAGUCUCCACUAGCGUCAUUCGAAGAACGAACAAGAAAGGGGUUACUGUUUAGGAUAGAUGGAUGUGGCCCAAUGGCUAAAGCUCUGCCAGCUUCUUGUAGACUGAACUCUCUUCUCUUUAGGCUCCGAGUUCUUUUUGGGGGGGAUGGUCUAAUUUACUAGUGGCAACGAAGUUCUUAAAUGACUAGAUUCUCCCGGAACGCUAGCUAAGCUAAUCGUCUUAGUUCCCUUCAAUUAAAUCAAUAAGCUUUUUGAUUGAUUCAGGGCGCCGCCCCCCUUCUUAGAAUUAGAACCCAUUGAGGGGGGCCUCGGCCCGGGAAGGGGAGAGUGGCCGAGUGGUCAAAAGCGGCAGACUGUAAAUCUGUUGAAGUUUUUCUACGUAGGUUCGAAUCCUGCCUCUCCCACUUGUUUGUUGUAGACUUCAGAGAAGAGAAAAGAGGCAUUCGUCAGCGUAGGAAGGCCAACCGAGCGAAGCUCUUUCUUUUUUUUGGCCGUGCCGUGAAGUGAAAUUGUAUCGUAUGUUAGUUAGAGAGGUUGGCGAACUACUACGAUCUAUAGAUUUCCCAUCUAUAUCCAAUCCCAACGAGAAUAGGAGCGAGUCGCUUCCGGCCUGUCUUGUAGUCGUAGUCUUUUAGCUUAUGUAGUCGUCGGCCUUCCUACACGCAUGCGUCCGCCAGAAUGCCUCCUUGGUUCGGGACGAAGCCAAGCCGAUACAUACGAUAGGCGAAGGAAAGACCCCCAUUUCAUAGCGCCUGGGGAACGCAAGUUUGAUCGAGGAUUGGAGAGGAGAGGUGGAAGAAAGGGCUCGGGAUGGAUUUUGGAGUCUUUGUGCGAGCCGUAUGCGGUGAGAGUCGCACGUACGGUAACGAGGGGGGUUCGCGUCUAUACGUGUAGUGUGGUGCUUAGGCCUACCCACCCUAUUUGUUCCAUGAUCUAUGGGUCUACUGGAGCUACCCACUUCGAUCAAUUAGCCAAGAUUUUGACCGGAUACGAAAUCACUGGUGCUCGAUCUAGUGGUAUUUUUAUGGGGAUUCUAUUUAUCGCUGUAGGAUCCCUAUUCAAGAUCACUGCAGUUCCUUUUCGGGCGGCUGUAGGACGGCCGCCUAUAGGUGGUAGGGUAGGGUGGGUGGUACCGCUCUGCGGCCAAUCUUCCUAACCGCGCGCGGGCCGGGCUUAGAGCGCGUGAAACUCAUCACUACCUCGUAAGGGCGUUGAGACCAUAGCAUGUUACACGAAAGCGCCGCUUUCUCUGUAGUGUUGUCACACAGCUGCCCGCCUAGAAGAGCAACUCGCUCUGUAGUGUUGUCACACAAGAUAAGCACGCCGCCCGCCUGCUGGCCGGGCGAAUCGAAGUUAUCUUCCGGUCAACUGUCCACCCAGUCAAGUGCAAAAAACACAGUAGAAUCACGCAACGCACGCUGCUGGUGUGCUUCCUGCUCGCGAGGAAAGAAAGAAGAGCGACAGGGUUCAGUUCAGAUUUGACUGUUUGCAGCAUGGGAGCAGAUUCCCCAAAAAAUCCCUGGGAACAAUGAAAAAAAAAGAUAUCUCGGUAACGAAAACUAUAGGGGGCUGUAUUGGCGAGAUCCAACGGUGAACAGCUGCCCAAAAGAAAAACCGCCUGGAAGUCCGAGGACCUUUAGUACUGUACUCUACCCCCGAACCAGCAGCCUUCGCGCCAAGCAAGACCGCCCUUGUCCCUUUCCUUUCUCCAUUCCGCCUCCUUCUUUGCUUUGUUCCAAUAGAGUCUAAGGCAAAGUGGUUCGUAUGCCUACUUUACCUACUUGACGAAAGGGAACGAACAACGUUUCAUUUCCGGGUUUAUGGAUUGGAUUCCGUCAGCCUCACGACAUAAUCAGAGUGAGGCUUUGGUUACCGGCAAACGCUUCUCCAAAGGCGACCCUCUCGAGUUUCCGGCUGUUUCCGUCAUUGAAGUAGCCUUUCGUCGCCCUACCAAACGAAAGAAGUCACUAUCAAACUGCUCGCCCUAUUGAAGUACCAAAGGUGCGCUCAGCCCGGUGACUAGGAAAUGGGUUUGCCCUUGAAUUGAAGUGAUGAGGUCGGAAAGAGGGAAGUAGGGCUCCUAUUGACUAAAGGUUGGUUCUUCGCUUUCCUUUAGAAUGAAAGUUGCUAUGAAGCCCCUCUCCUUACAGUCAAGUGGCUGAACGCCCCUACUACUUACUUUGUUUGAUUCAAAAGGCGAACAGCCCCCCCAACUAGUUGUAUGGGGUGGGGUGCUUGUGAAAAGCUGCUUUGGAUAUGAGUAAUUCCUAAAAAAAGGCAAAGUCCGGUAUUUGACGAAGAUCUUUCUAUCAAUAGAUAGGAAUGAGUGUUCGAUAUAGGGGAUAGGAUCCAUCUGCUCUUUAUCUCACAAUUUUUUUGUGAGAAAUAUAUAUAUAUCGUUUAUCUAUCUCUUGUCUAUCUAUCCUUGAUUCUCAAGUCCAAUUUUUUGGUUCCCCGAAGCCCCGAAUGGAAUGGAUCGUUUCUGCCAACGAAAUGAACGCGGAGCCCGUUCCGAAUGCUUCUACGAUCCGGAAGUUCUCGCGAAGAGAAUAAGAUGCUGCUCCCCUUCCCUCUUUCUUUUCCCGCUUUGCUAAUCUUCCCCUCUAACGCGGGCCGGGCGGCGACGGG
rnacentral:lncRNA from 1 species